rnacentral:tRNA from 1 species
GAGGGUAUAGCUUAGUGGUAGGGUGCAUGCCUGGCAUGCAUAAAGUCCUGGGGUUCAAUCCCCAGUACCUUAC